UCGCAGCGUUGCCGCCACCAGUUCUGCAGCCGUUUCCCCAACAUCUCCACGGAUGAGCGCCAUCAUUUCGCUCUCCCUCGCGAGCACAUCGCCGACCCAGCCUCCAUCCCCGACUUUCCACCGGCGGUUUCUCUCCCUCCUCCCUCUCUCCUCAGCCUGCGGCUCCAUUCGCCGACUUCACCGCUGCGUUCCGUCUGAACGCCAGAUCUAUACUACUAUUUUUGUCGCUCAGAUCUGGAGCAAAUCAUCAGUGGUGAUUAAUGCUUGUCAACAUAGCUACUGGUGGAAAGAAAUGGUUGUUGCUGGUGGUGAUUUUUUUUUCGUUUUUUGGCGAUUUUUGUUUUCUGAUGGUGUUUUUGAUUUUUCGACGGUGAUUUUGUUUUGUAGUUGGUGAUUUUUCGGAUUUGAGGGUGGUGGUGGUGCUUUGUAGAUGGUGGCGGUGUGGUUAUUUUAAUUUUCAGGCGUUUAUUUUUGUUUUCUGACGGUGCUUUUCGAUUUCUGGUGGUGAUUUUAUGUUUUCCAGUGGUGAUUUUAUGUUUGCUGGUGGUGAUUUUCUGGUGGUCGCCGGAGAUGGUGGUGGUGGUCAGCGGUGGUUGAAGGUGAUAGGUAGUUGAAUUAGAAGUUGGUGAAAUAUUAAAAUAUUAAAUAAAUGGUGAGAGAU
rnacentral:lncRNA from 1 species